UGGGUUGUAGCUCAAUGGUUGAGUGCUUGCCUUGCAUGCAUGAGGCACUGGGUUCGAUCCUUAGCACCACAU
rnacentral:tRNA from 1 species